rnacentral:lncRNA from 1 species
CGAGGAUGAUUUCCUGGGACCCUUGAACUCUGAGCAGGCCCCUGCAGGGAAAGUGACUGGCCCGCCCCCCUGCUCUGCCCCUGUCAGAGCCAGCACCUGUCAGGGGCGUGGCUGGAGGGUGGGGAGACGCUGGCACCCGGCCCCUCCGCCCGCCCGCUCCCCCAGCCCCACACUGUCCCUUGCCACGAUGGGCGCUGGGCGGCAGGCUUGGGACAGCUGGGGACGAGGGAGAGGCUGGCAGGCUGAGGGAUAAAGGGAAAGUGCCAGGAGGGACUUCACAGCCAGCAGCAGCAGUGACAGCGGUUGUUCAGCCUCCCCGGCCACUCUUGGAGCGGGGCAGGGAAGCCGAGGCAUCUGGAGCCCAGACACUGCCAGGAAGGUCUCAGCCAAGGGCCUGUGUGAAAACCAAAGACCCAGAGAAGCCAGGGAAGGGUUACAAAGAUUUUCACUGGGUGCUCAUAACAUCCAAACAUUUUUAAGUUAGUGACUAGUAUUUGCAGAUUUGAAAUCCAGUCUGAGGAGGCGGCCACAUGGACCACACGUCCCGGCAGGACAACUGCUGGCCAAAAGGGAGUCAGGGCCCUGCAUCCUGGAAGGUCCUGGCCGUGCCUCUGUCCUGACGAAACAGGGCAAUGGCACAGUGCGUCUCUCCGAGCUGGGCUCUGCUCCCUGCCUUCCCAGCAAGUCUCAGACGGGUCCUGUGAUUCAUCAGCCCCACUUUCCUGACAAGCAGCCGGAGGUGGAGGAAGGGACAGCUGCAAUCAGAUCCGACUGUGAAAGAAUGUUCUAGAGCCUGGCGUGGCACACACCUGUAAUCCUAGCCCUCUGGAGGCUGGGGGAGGAGGAUCGCACAGGCAGCUUCUAAAUACCCCUUCGCAGACAGGUGUGCAACAUGCCCUUCUCAGGGGAUGAAAUAAGACCUAGACCCUCAUUUCCACCUCUCUGGCCCUGGGUGUGUUCUUGUGUGGACAACUUAACUGCUCUGAGUCUCCGUUUUCUCAUCUGAAAAAUGAGGUGUCCUGCUACGACUCCCAAACUGCUGUACCAGGAAGACCGAGACACGAUGCCGAGAGCCGGGGAUUUAGCUCAGUGGUUUCGCCACCUGCCUCACAAAUGCAAGGUUCUGAGUUUGAUCCCUGGUACCAAAAAAAAGAAAGAAAGAAAAAAAGAGACACGAUGCAGAGAACAUUCUUCGCAAUGCUCAAGGUUGCUUUUCUUUUUCCCUCAUGGACAUCCGGUGGAGUUUUCCAGUGGGCACAAGACACGACAUCCAGACAUCCAGCAGCUGAAGGCAGAGCAGACUCGAGGAGCCAGCUGCCUUCUACCAAACUGUGCAUUUGAGAAUUUGCAACUGUGUAGAACAGUGUCACCUUUCUCGGUAAACCUUUUGGGGAAAAUCUGGUUCUUUAGAAUAAAAAUGCUUAACAUGCAGUGAUUUAUUGUUCUUUUAAAAUUAAUAAACGUAAAUGG